rnacentral:rRNA from 1 species
GAUGAACGCUGGCGGCGUGCUUAACACAUGCAAGUCGAACGUGAUCCAUUAGCAAUAGUGGUGAAAGUGGCGAACGGGUGAGUAACACGUAGGUAACCUGCCCCAAAGCGGGGGAUAACGACUGGAAACGGUCGCUAAUACCGCAUAAGCCCAUUGAAGCGGGAGUGAGAUGGGGAAAAUUCUGGUGCUUUGGGAGGGGCCUGCGUCCGAUUAGCUAGUUGGUGAGGUAACGGCUCACCAAGGCGACGAUCGGUAGCUGGUCUGAGAGGACGAUCAGCCACACGGGAACUGAGACACGGUCCCGACUCCUACGGGGGGCAGCAGUGAGGAAUAUUGGGCAAUGGGCGCAAGCCUGACCCAGCAACGCCGCGUGAAGGAAGAAGGCCUUCGGGUUGUAAACUUCUUUUAUGGGGGAAGAG